rnacentral:rRNA from 1 species
UACGAAGGGGCUAGCGUUGUUCGGAAUCACUGGGCGUAAAGGGCGCGUAGGCGGCUUUGUAAGUCGGGGGUGAAAGCCUGUGGCUCAACCACAGAAUUGCCUUCGAUACUGCAUGGCUUGAGACCGGAAGAGGUUAGUGGAACUGCGAGUGUAGAGGUGAAAUUCGAUAGAUAUUCGCAAGAACACCAGUGGCGAAGGCGGCUGACUGGUCCGGUUCUGACGCUGAGGCGGCGAAAGCGUGGGAGCAAACAGG